rnacentral:rRNA from 1 species
GACGAACGCUGGCGGCGUGCUUAACACAUGCAAGUCGAACGGGAAGGCCCUGCUUUUGUGCGGUGCACGAGUGGGGAACGGGUGAGUAACACGUGAGUAACCUGCACUUGACUUUGGGAACACUUCCGGAAACUGGGGAUAAUACCGGAUAGGAGCUCCUGCUUCAUGGAGGGGGGUGGAAAGUUUCGGCGGUUGGGGGGUGACUCGAGGCUUCGCAGCUUGUUUGUGUGGUAGUGGCUUACCAAGGCUUUGAAGGGUAGCCGGCCUGGGAGGGUGACCGGCCACACUGGGACUGAGAUACGGCCCAGACUCCUACGGGAGGCAGCAGUGGGGAAUAGUGCACAAUGGGCUGAAGCCAGAUGCAGCAACGCCGCGUGCGGUAUGACGGCCUUCGGGUUGUAAACCGCUGUCGCCUGUGACGAAGCGUGAGUGACGGUAAUGGGUAAAGAAGCACCGGCUAACUACGUG